UACGUAGGGGGCAAGCGUUAUUCGGAAUUAUUGGGCGUAAAGAGCGUGUAGGCGGUCCGGUAAGUCCGCUGUGAAAGUCAAGGGCUCAACCCUUGAAUGCCGGCGGAUACUGCCGGGCUAGAGUCCGGAAGAGGCGAGUGGAAUUCCUGGUGUAGCGGUGAAAUGCGCAGAUAUCAGGAGGAACACCUAUGGCGAAGGCAGCUCGCUGGGACGGUACUGACGCUGAGACGCGAAAGCGUGGGGAGCAAACAGG
rnacentral:rRNA from 1 species